CUUCCCCUAGCUUAGCCUUCACUGUACCCAAAUCCAUAGGCUCCUUAACAAUGGUGUGGUAAUCAUGCAAACCAAACCCUUUAGCAUCAACUGGGACAUUGAACACCCAUCCAUCCUCAUGCUUCAUCAAUUGCGUAAGCAAAUUGUGACAUUUUUUUGAAAAUCUGAACCGUACUUUUUUCACCUCCACCUCCUGUAGACAUUUCUUAGGGUUUCUCUAGGGUUUUUUUAGCUCGGAGGACUGUGAGGGAGGAUCAGAAAUUCUCCUCGGAAAUAGUGUAGAAGGCCAACUGGAGUUAAUUAUAGAGUUUACUUUCCUUGUCUGUUGCAAAUCAUGGUCUUGUUAGGCUUCUAAAAAGAAUAUAAUUAACACGAUGUUUUUGUUUUGCUUUGCGGGUUAUCCUCUGAGUUUGUUCUGGUGUUCAUCAUGCGGUUUGCGGAACCUGAGGGUAUUAGUCUUCUUUGGAUUUGAUACUCUUUCCAUUGAUGACAAAUAUUGACAUGUUUUUUGAUCUCUUGAUGAGGAGUUAAAUUUUAAAAUAUUAAUUCCAUACAGUGAUUUAUUCAUCCAACUCCUUUGAACUUCAUCCAAAUUGACCUACGUUAAGAAAAUCAUUUGAAUGCUAUAUCUGGUCUACAGUUGGAUGACAAAUUUAGUUUGAAUCCCAGCUAAUAUAUAUAGAUGCAUGAGUUUGCAUUUUAGUAAAGACAAUACGUGUGUUUUAGUACGCGUGCAUUUCAGCAUCUUAGCGGCUUAGCGCAUGUGUUUGCGCUUGUACUUCUCGACAGCUUUUAAAAAUUGUUUCUCCUGUAAUACUUCUAUACUAGGUUAAGACCGCGCCUUGCACGGGAUGAACAUUAUAUAUAUAAAUUAUUUUAUAUUAUAUGUUUAUAAAAUAUUAUGAAAUAAUAAAUAUAUAUUGAAUAAUUAAAAAUUCAUUAUCUACUACUAAUAUAAUUAAAUUGGUGCGAACAUAUAAAUAAAUUUUAUAAAUCGAAAAAAUAUUUUUCUAUUUUAUAUGAUAUAUAAUUAAAUUUAAAUGAUAUUAACUAUAUAUAUGGUAUAUUUUUAAUAUUAAUAUUUAUUAGAUGAUGCUUUUUGCUCAUAUUUAUUUUUAUCAUUUGUAUCUGCUAUAGCAAAAGUCUAAAUUAGUGAUAACAAAAUUUUCACUGUGAGAUUAAUGGUUUAAGUAAUUUAUAAUAUUUUAAGAAAUUAAUUGUCAAUAUUUUUUCAAAUUUUUAUCAAAAAAAUGUUCAAAGUAAAUUUCAAAAUUAAGAUAUUUAUGUAUUUUUAUAUGACAUAUAGUUUAAUUUAAAAAUUAUACAUAUAUUUAUAUAUCUUUUAUUUUUGAUACUUAUUAAAUGAGACUUUCAACUUAUAUAUAUUUUUAAAUUAUUUGUAUCAUGUCAUAACAAAAGUUUUAAAUCAUAGAUCACAAAAUUUGAAUGUGAAACUUUUAACAGUUUUAGUAAUUUAUACUCAUUUUUAAAAAUUCAAAAUAUAAUAUAUAAAUAUUUUUUUAAAAAUUUUAUUAUAUGGUAGUAUGAUUGUUUAUUUUUUUAAUAGCUUAAAAUUAAACAAAUAUAAUUAUAAUACACACUUAUUUUUAUCAAAUCUUUAUUAUUCAAAAUUAUUAAUUGUCAUAUAUACGUUAACCACAUUAGGUAAUUCUGUAAUCUUAUUUAAGGAAAUAAUGAAGCACAUUAAUAAUGUAUUUAUUGUGAUUUGAUAAAAAGCUUAUUAUAUAUUUAGAUGGACCAACAUAUUUGUCUAAGGAUUCUAAAAAUCAUUCUAAUGAUGACACGUGGUUACAAAAAAUGUUGCAAUGCUUCUCAAAUAUAUAUAUAUAAGGGAUAUCAUGUACUGGUUGUAUUUUUCUAGAAUGAUUCAUCUAAUUGAUUAUUGUUUAUGUUAAUUUUGUUUUUCGACAUGCUUUGUUUCUCUUUAUCAACGAAGAAAAAAAAACAAAUUCUUGUUGUGUUCUUGGCAAAUUAUUAUCCAUUAUCUAUCUCUCCAGCAAUAUGCGAGUGUCAGUUUUACAUUUGAAGCUGUUGGAAAUUUUAUUUCUAAAAUUUGUUGUAUAUACAUAUCAGAUUUCAGAAUAUAUAUAUCUCUAGUAUACAACUUGUGUGUAAAAAUGUGUAUUGGUUCGUUGUAAUGGCUUUCUUAAAUAAUUAACUAAGAAUAUGAGAGAUCCUUCGAGAUCAAAAAAAUAUUAUUAGGUUUGAGUGUAUGUGUAACGUUAAAAACAUAUACUGUAAUUGUAUGUGUACAAACUCAUGACUAUGAAGAAAAAAGAAUUGUAAAUAGGUGCUUCAGAUUAUAGUACUGUGCCACAAACUACUGCUUUGGGAUAUUGACUUUUUCCAUUAUUCAUGUUCUACGUUUCUAUCUAAACGUUAUUGCGUAUAAUGAAUUUGCUAGAUAUGAUACUAUACUAGUAAUAACAACAAAUUUCUCAAACAUGUAUGUGAAACAGAUUUUUUUUUAAUUCAAUGACUCAAAACAAAAGAACAGUCAGAAGUUUGGUAAUUUUUGAAAGUUUAUCUCAAAACCAUUCAGAUUUGAAAGUUAUAUAUAGAUAUAUGUUAUAUUAUUCUUAUUUAAAAUGGAAGAAAAAGAUUUUUUAUGUUCAAGUCAAAAAGUUUUUAAGGCAAACUGGUAAUACCAUUAAUGGCUAUUAUUAGAUUCAAUGAAUAAUACAAAAAAAAUCUAAGGUUGUUUAUGAGUCAAAAUUCUAGACGGUUAAGAUGAAUUAAGCUAGAUCUAAAGGCUCUUAUUCUUCUUGUAGACAACCCCUAUCAUGUUGAAAUCCUUUUAAAUAGAGGCUUCUCUCUUGUGCUGUUCUUCACUACCAACUAUCAAUAAUCAGUAUACUAUUUGUUACUUCAACAUAUUCUAUCAGUAUAGUUUUUCCUGUUUCUCUAUUCACCGAUCUCUCUUGUUUCUUCUUUUCUUUUGAAAGCUGGGCUACUUCUCAUUAUUUCUUGUCUUUCAAAGGUACGUGUUAAUAUAUAGUUCAAGUGUUGAACUUGUUAUAGAAUUUACAUAUCUCUUUUGUUUAUUUUAUGUGUAUUUAUUUUGGUGAUUUAUCAUUGAGACUAUAUUUUGUAAGAUACGAUUAAAUUCAAUUUUCAGAUUAAUUUUUCUUAUCACUAUAUUUUAGUUUUAAUAAUCAUCCUACCAUUGACUAUAUAUCCUUUAUUUUUAAGAAAAUAAAAAGCAAAAUGAAAGGACUAUCGUUAAUACAUCUGGUGUUCACUAUAUAACUCAGAUCUGAAUAUGUUGGUAUGUAGUUUAGUUAUUAUGCGGUUCAAAUAUUGUGAAGAUAAGACCGAACAUUGAACUUGUUCUGUUUUUUCAGUAGACCCUAACGAUCAUUUUCUAGUCUUUUAUUCUUGAAGUUUUGAGAUUGUAAAGAAUAAUAAGAUUUGAUUAAAAAAAAUAAGAAAAAAAUAGAUUUUUUUUUUGAAAAAUAUUACUUUUUUUAUAAGAAAAAAAUAAGUUUAUUGAAAUUGUAUUUUCUCAAUAAGUAAAUUUGACGUUUGUGUUAUGAUUUUAUAUAUGUACUGCUAUUUGUUUUGAUAAUAUUUUCUCUAAGCAUUUAUCACUUAGAUUAGAACAAAAUGAGAUUUAGUGGUUUUUUAGUCUUAGAUAUGAUUCACGAUGACUUCAAAAUAUUAAUAGUUAUAGUUAUGCGGUUGUUUAAUGAUUAUGUACUUUUGAUCAUUUUUUUUCUUAAUGCAGGACAUAUUUUAACAAUGGAUGAGUCUACUCCAAUCGAAGCUACACCAUUCAGCUAUCUAAUUCGAGGAGCUUGCUGACGAUGAUAACCAUCACAUGGAGGAACAUCCCAUCACCAACUUCUCAAGUGGUUACACACCACUUCAAACUGUUGAUGACGAGACCUCUUACACAACACCACCUCCAUUCUUCAAGCCUCACCGCUUCAGCCUGCUAAUGAGGCGGAAAACUACAACACACCAAACACCCUAUCAAACCUCUAUUACUGGCCACACCACUCACUUCAUUUCACCAUCUGAUGAAUCCAAACUGCUGCUGUCGAUCCCAACAUGGUGUCCUAUCAAAAGAGACGAGGCCGACCAAAAGGUUCAAAGAAUUCAAAGCCGUCCAAGAAGAAGAUGGAAACCUCUCAUCCCAACAAUGAAGUGGUUGUAUCUGGUCACAAUGAUGAAACUCACAACACAUCAUCUCCCUCAUCCUCCUCUAAUGGCCACAGAUCCAAGCAUAUUGUACCAUACGAUGACUCCAACCACGACUCUUUGGCUGAUGAUGAUGCUGCUCCGAGUAGCGAUCCUCUUAAAAGAGGACGGGCCCGACAAAGGGUUCGAAGAGCGCCAAGACGCCUGUGAAGAACGCUGAAACCCCAUAAUCCCGACGACAAAAUAUUUUGUCCCAGUUUUGACUCGAUGAUAACCGAAGAGGAGNNNNNNNNNNNNNNNNNNNNNNNNNNNNNNNNNNNNNNNNNNNNNNNNNNNNNNNNNNNNNNNNNNNNNNNNNNNNNNNNNNNNNNNNNNNNNNNNNNNNUUGUUUACCAUAAUCAUCAGACAAAAGAUAAUGGAUGCUUUAACUUCGUAAAGCAUAAGAUAGAAGGAAUAUGAGCAGCUUGCAAUAUGGUUUGGAGAUGCAGACAUGGGUGUUGAUGUGACGAACAGUAAGAAACAUGCGACAACAUCUCCGGACCCUAAAAACUCAGGGUCAAACCUGCCAUUUGCAUCAGACGAUUGAGACACCUUCUAUGCAGGCUUGACUGUCAUGUGAUGCUUUAAAGUUUGAACAAUAUGAUACCAAGAACCAAUCUGUUUCUUCUAAUAUGAAAAACAUUAAAUUCUUCUUAAUGCCCCUUCUAGUUUCCUUUACUGCUCUAAACAAUUGAUUUGUUCCACUUAAGACGCAGGGAACAAGCAUGUUGAUUAGAGGAAGACAUCUACAGUUCAUUCUUCUGUACAGUAAAACAUCCUAAUACAGAAAACAAUCCAAUUGGGGCAAAGUCAUCGACUUAGAAAAUAACAUGACGGCUCUGAUUCUAAAGCUAAACACUAUCUUGACUUGUCAGCUCUAAUUACCAGUAUCUGAUCCACGUCCAGAGGAGCUGUCACUGUCAGAAUCUGCAGAACAAAAAAGAAGAUUGAUGUGAGUAGUGAUGCUGAUAAAGGUGUGAUAAAAAGAGCUGACACAGAGUUUCAACAUUUACCACUAGAGCUAGAUCCCGAGUCACUGCUGGAACUGUUAGAACUACUUGAUCCACCUGCCUUGUUUUCUUGCCGAACAGGAGAAGAAGACAUGCGAAUAGCUUUCCCUGGUUAGAAAUAAUCAUUUGUUAUUCCUUUGUUGUGUGUAAAUAAAUACUAAUUAAUAACAUCCGAAUUUGGUAUGAGCUAGUGACCUAAAACCUUACCUGAUUCAGUAACUCUCGAUCUUUCGGUGCCAGUUGCCUGAAACAAUGAUAAUGAGCCAAAAUCAAUAAAGACCUGAAAUAAAUAACAUUUGGCUAUGGAAAGAAAUCUUUACCGGUUCUUGGAUAAUGUUGUGAGCAGAUUCAGCAUCUCUUUCUGAACCAAAACCCUGAUCCUCCUCCUUUUUAUUGCUCAAGUUCUCCUUAUACCCAGUCACAAAACUAUAAAGCUCCCAAAGCGUUUGGAUGUCAAGACUGUCAAUAUCCAGCUCAAUCUCAUCAUCCUGUUGAGAGAGCUCCGGAUUACUCUUCUUCACAAUCUGAACAACUGUCUCUAGUUUAUCAUAAGGCAAGUCCUGAAGCUCUUCACUGAGUCUCCGUUUCUCAUCCAUCUUCAGGUCCCUAACAUCAACAGGCGCCUCCUCAUCUCCUUCAGGCUUCUCGAGGGCAGCAGUGACGAUUUCAGGUUCCAACGGUGUUGUCAUAGAUUCAGAAAUCUACAAAGUCCUAUCCUCAAGCACCACAGGCCGAAGAGACGGAGGAAGGUGUAGGAGCUGGUAAAGGCUCUACAACACUAGCCGGUUUGAUCUCCCGGUGAAGAUUAUGAUACUGCAGUUCGAUAGGAACCCAUUUCUCCUCAAACAUGCUCAACAGAAACUUAGCCAUACUAUGCACCUCAUGCCCAACAGGAUUCCAAAAAAUCGCAUUGUUAAAAGUAAAUUAAGUCUAACAUCUUCAGCAAAAUCCAACGGCGACUCAUACAAACCUUCCCCUAGCUUAGCCUUCACUGUACCCAAAUCCAUAGGCUCCUUAACAAUGGUGUGGUAAUCAUGCAAACCAAACCCUUUAGCAUCAACUGGGACAUUGAACACCCAUCCAUCCUCAUGCUUCAUCAAUUGCGUAAGCAAAUUGUGACAUUUUUUUGAAAAUCUGAACCGUACUUUUUUCACCUCCACCUCCUGUAGACAUUUCUUAGGGUUUCUCUAGGGUUUUUUUAGCUCGGAGGACUGUGAGGGAGGAUCAGAAAUUCUCCUCGGAAAUAGUGUAGAAGGCCAACUGGAGUUAAUUAUAGAGUUUACUUUCCUUGUCUGUUGCAAAUCAUUGGUCUUGUUAGGCUUCUAAAAAGAAUAUAAUUAACACGAUGUUUUUGUUUUGCUUUGCGGGUUAUCCUCUGAGUUUGUUCUGGUGUUCAUCAUGCGGUUUGCGGAACCUGAGGGUAUUAGUCUUCUUUGGAUUUGAUACUCUUUCCAUUGAUGACAAAUAUUGACAUGUUUUUUGAUCUCUUGAUGAGGAGUUAAAUUUUAAAAUAUUAAUUCCAUACAAUGAUUUAUUCAUCCAACUCCUUUUGAACUUCAUCCAAAUUGACCUACGUUAAGAAAAUCAUUUGAAUGCUAUAUCUGGUCUACCAGUUGGAUGACAAAUUUUAGUUUGAAUCCCAGCUAAUAUAUAUAUAGAUGCAUGAGUUUGCAUUUUAGUAAAGACAAUACGUGUGUUUUAGUACGCGUGCAUUUCAGCAUCUUAGCGGCUUAGCGCAUGUGUUUGCGCUUGUACUUCUCGACAGCUUUUAAAAAUUGUUUCUCCUGUAAUACUUCUAUACUAGGUUAAGACCCGCGCCUUGCACGGGAUGAACAUUAUAUAUAUAAAUUAUUUUAUAUAUUAUAUGUUUAUAAAAUAUUAUGAAAUAAUAAAUAUAUAUUGAAUAAUUAAAAAUUCAUUAUCUACUACUAAUAUAAUUAAAUUGGUGCGAACAUAUAAAUAAAUUUUAUAAAUCGAAAAAUAUUUUUUCUAUUUGAUAUGAUAUAUAAUUAAAUUUAAAUGAUAUUAACAUAUAUAUGGUAUAUUUUAAUAUUAAUAUUUAUUAGAUGAUGCUUUUUGCUCAUAUUUAUUUUUUAUCAUUUGUAUCUGCUAUAGCAAAAAGUCUAAAUUAGUGAUAACAAAAUUUUCACUGUGAGAUUAAUGGUUUAAGUAAUUUAUAAUAUUUUAAGAAAUUAAGUUGUCAAUAUUUUUUCAAAUUUUUUAUCAAAAAAUGUUCAAAGUAAAUUUCAAAAUUAAGAUAUUUAUGUAUUUUUAUAUGACAUAUAGUUUAAUUUAAAAUUAUACAUAUAUUUAUAUAUCUUUUAUUUUUGAUACUUAUUAAAUGAGACUUUCAACUUAUAUUAUUUUUAAAUUAUUUGUAUCAUGUCAUAACAAAAGUUUUAAAUCAUAGAUCACAAAAUUUGAAUGUGAAACUUUUAACAGUUUUAGUAAUUUAUACUCAUUUUUAAAAAUUCAAAAUAUAAUAUAUAAAUAUUUUUUUAAAAAUUUUAUUAUAUGGUUAGUAUGAUUGUUUAUUUUAUUUUAAUAGCUUAAAAUUAAACAAAUAUAAUUAUAAUACACACUUAUUUUUAUCAAAUCUUUAUUAUUCAAAAUUAUUAAUUGUCAUAUAUACGUUAGCCACAUUAGGUAAUUCUGUAAUCUUAUUUAAGGAAAUAAUGAAGCACAUUAAUAAUGUAUUUAUUGUGAUUUGAUAAAAAGCUUAUUAUAUAUUUAGAUGGACCAACAUAUUUGUCUAAGGAUUCUAAAAAUCAUUCUAAUGAUGACACGUGGUUACAAAAAAUGUUGCAAUGCUUCUCAAAUAAUAUAUAGGGGAUAUCAUGUACUGGUUGUAUUUUUCUAGAAUGAUUAAUCUAAUUGAUUAUUGUUAUGUUAAUUUUGUUUUUCGACAUGCUUUGUUUCUCUUUAUCAACGAAGAAAGAAAAAAACAAAUUCUUGUUGUGUUCUUGGCAAAUUAUUAUCCAUUAUCUAUCUCUCCAGCAAUAUGCGAGUAUCAGUUUUACAUUUGAAGCUGUUGGAAAUUUUAUUCUAAAAUUUGUUGUAUAUACAAAUCAGAUUUCAGAAUAUAUAUAUCUCUAGUAUACAACUUGUGCGUAAAAAUGUGUAUGGUUCGUGUAAUGGCUUUCUUAAAUAAUUAACUAAGAAUAUGAGAGAUCCUUCGAGAUCAAAAAAAUAUUAUUAGGUUUGAGUGUAUGUGUAACGUUAAAAACAAUACCGUAAUUGUAUGUGUACAAACUCAUGACUAUGAAGAAAAAAGAAUUGUAAAUAGGUGCUUCAGAUUAUAGUACUGUGCCACAAACUACUGCUUGGGAUAUUGACUUUUUCCAUUAUUCAUGUUCUACGUUUCUAUCUAAACGUUAUUGCGUAUAAUGAAUUUGCUAGAUAUGAUACUAUAUUAGUAAUAACAACAAAUUUCUCAAACAUGUAUGUGAAACAGAUUUUUUUUUAAUUCAAUGACUCAAAACAAAAGAACAGUCAGAAGUUUGGUAAUUUUUUGAAAGUUUAUCUCAAAACCAUUCAGAUUUUGAAAGUUAUAUAUAGAUAUAUGUUAUAUUAUUCUUAUUUAAAAUGGAAGAAAAAGAUUUUUUAUGUUCAAGUCAAAAAGUUUUAAGGCAAAACUGGUAAUACCAUUAAUGGCUAUUAUUAGAUUCAAUGAAUAAUACAAAAAAAUCUAAGGUUGUUUAUGAGUCAAAAUCUUAGACGGUUAAGAUGAAUUAAGCUAGAUCUAAAGGCUCUUAUUCUUCUUGUAGACAACACCCUAUCAUGUUGAAAUCCUUUUAAAUAGAGGCUCUCUCUUGUGCUGUUCUUCACUACCAACUAUCAAUAAUCAGUAUACUAUUUGUUACUUCAACAUAUUCUAUCAGUAUAGUUUUUCCUGUUUCUCCAUUCACCGAUCUCUCUUGUUUCUUCUUUUCUUUUGAAAGCUGGGCUACUUCUCAUUAUUUCUUGUCUUUCAAAGGUACGUGUUAAUAUAUAGUUCAAUGUUGAACUUGUUAUAGAAUUUACAUAUCUCUUUUGUUUAUUUUAUGUGUAUUUAUUUUUGGUGAUGUUAUCAUUGAGACUAUAUUUUGUAAGAUACGAUUAAAUUCAAUUUUCAGAUUAAUUUUUUCUUAUCACUAUAUUUUAGUUUUAAUAAUCAUCCUACCAUUGACUAUAUAUCCUUUAUUUUUUAAGAAAAUAAAAAGCAAAAUGAAAGGACUAUCGUUAAUACAUUGGUGUUCACUAUAACUCAGAUCUGAAUAUGUUGGUAUGUAGUUUAGUUAUUAUGCGGUUCAAAUAUUGUGAAGAUAAGACCGAACAUUGAACUUGUUCUGUUUUUUCAGGUAGACCCUAACGAUCAUUUUCUAGUCUUUUAUUCUUGAAGUUUUGAGAUUGUAAAGAAUAAUAAGAUUUGAUUAAAAAAAAUAAGAAAAAAAUAAGAUUUUUUUUUGAAAAAUAUUACUUUUUUAUAAAAAAAAAUAAGUUUAUUGAAAUUGUAUUUUUCUCAAUAAGUAAAUUUGAUGUUUGUGUUAUGAUUUUAUAUAUGUACUGCUAUUUGUUUUGAUAAUAUUUCCUCUAAGCAUUUAUCACUUAGAUUAGAACAAAAAUGAGAUUUAGUGGUUGUUUUAGUCUUAGAUAUGAUUCACGAUUGACUUCAAAAUAUUAAUAGUUAUAGUUAUGCGGUUGUUUAAUGAUUAUGUACUUUUGAUCAUUUUUUUUUCUUAAUGCAGGACAUAUUUUUACAAUGGAUGAGUCUACUCCAAUCGAAGCUACACCAUUCAGCUAUCUAAUUCCGAGCUUUGCUGACGAUGAUAACCAUCACAUGGAGAACAUCCCAUCACCAACUUCUCAAGUGGUUACACCACUUCAAACUGUUGAUGACGAGACCUCUUACACAACACCACCUCCCAUUCCUCAAGCCUCACCGCUUCAGCCUGCUAAUGAGGAAAACUACAACACACCAACACCCUAUCAACCUCUAUUACUGGCCACACCACUCAGCUUCAUUUCACCAUCUGAUGAAUCCAACACUGCUGCUGUCGAUCCCAACAUGGGUCCUAUCAAAAGAGGACGAGGCCGACCAAAAGGUUCAAAGAAUUCAAAGCCGUCCAAGAAGAAGAUGGAAACCUCUCAUCCCAACAAUGAAGUGGUUGUAUCUGGUCACAAUGAUGAAACUCACAACACAUCAUUCUCCCCUCAUCCUCCUCUAAUGGCCACAGAUCUUCAAGCUAUUGUACCAUACGAUGACUCCAAACACGACUCUUUGGCUGAUGAUGAUGCUGCUCCGAGUAGCGAUCCUCUUAAAAGAGGACGGGGCCGACCAAAGGGUUCGAAGAGCGCCAAGACGCCUGUGAAGAAGCUGAAACCCCAUAAUCCCGACGACAAAAUAUUUUGUCCCAGUUUUGACUCGAUGAUAACCGAAGAGGAGAAAGAAAAUGGGAAUGAAGAUCUGGUGGACUCCGUUCGGAUGCGUUUCAACGCCGUUUGUCGUCGCUUAGGCCACAUAAGCUGCGAGAAAGCUGUGGUCACAACUGCCUUCAGUAGGUUUACCAAUCUGGGUGUCAGAACUAACAAGAAGAAGAGAAUCGGUCCGGUUCCGGGGGUACAACCAGGAGAUAUAUUCUACUUCUGGGGAGAGAUGUGUUUGGUUGGACUUCACACUCAGAUGCCUGCUGGUAUCGACUAUCUACUAGCGAAAGAUGGUGAAGCAGAAGGAUUAACAACAAGUGUCGUUACAUCAGUAGGACACUACAACGACAAAACGGACGAGCUUCAUACUUUGGUAUACACCGGGCAAGGAGGAACGUGUAAGGAUGGUAAACCUAGAAAUCAAGACCUUACAAGAGGAAACCUAGCGUUGGUCACAAGUCAGAAAAGAGGAAAUGAAGUUAGAGUGAUUAGAGGUGUAGAGGAUCCGGGCGAUAAAAAAGGGAAAGUAUAUAUCUACGAUGGUCUCUAUGUGGUAACCCAUUAUUGGAUAGAGAAAGGGACCACCGGCUUUGAUGAAUUCAAGUUUAAUCUCGUGAGAAAACAAGACCAGCCUUCUGGUUUCGCCACGUGGAAGUUAGCUGAAGAAUUGAUGAAGUGUGGUUCGAGUAAUCGGUCGAGGAAGGGUUUUGUGUUUGAAGAUAUUGCUCUUGGAUUGGAGGCGUUGCCAGUUCCGAUCGUGAACGAGAUCGAUGAGAACGACAAGGAGUGGCCUCUAGACUUCGACUACAGAGCCUCUUCGGAAAGUUUGAGUAUGAUGAUCGUUCCGAACCAUCAAUCUACUGGAUGCAACAACACUUGUCAAGGUGGUCAGUCAUGUGGAGAUCCGACGUGUCUUUGUAUUCAAAGAAAUGGCGGCGAGUUACCGUAUGAUAACCGCAUUUUACUAUAUCGUAAACCGAUGAUUUACGAAUGUGGCGAAUCCUGUUCUUGCCCCGCGGACUGCAAGAACAGGCUAUCUCAAAGCGGUUUGAAACUCCGGUUGGAAGUGUUCAAGACGGAGAGCUGCGGUUGGGGGUUACGUUCGUGGGAGCCCAUACGAGCCGGGACUUUUAUCUGCGAGUUGGUUGGCACAGCUAAGAGAAGAGAUGAGAUUGAAGAAGACGACGAGUACGUCUUCGACACCUCUCGAGUUUACAAAAGGUUUAGGUGGAACUACGAACCGGAACUUGUGGGUGAAGACUGUUGGGACGAAGUCUCUGAAGUUUAUAAACUUCGGUCGGAAAUAUUGGUCAGUGCCAGAGCUUUUGGUAACGUUAGUCGGUUCAUGAACCAUAGCUGCUUGGCUAACGUUAUGUGGCAGCCUGUUGAGUUUGAAAAGGAUGGCCAACCUUUGGUUCGUAUUGCCUUUUUUGCAAAGAGACAUAUACCUCCGUUGACAGAGUUGAGAUACGAUUAUGGAAUGUCUUAUGAUACUGGAGAGGUUGAUGAAGGUGGAAGCAGGGUUUUUACAGGUAAAAGGGCUUGCUUGUGUGGUUCGGAAAAUUGUCGUGGUUCUUUUGAGUGAGGUUGAACAUUUUUAUUAUUAUUGUUGUUGUCUUUUUAUCUGUUGUUUUGAUUAUUGUGGUCUUGUGUUUCCUUUUAAUCCCUAAGAAUAAAAAACUUACUUAAGUUUUUAAUCAUAGUGUAUGUUAUUUCAUUAUCUGUUAGAUUUGUAUCAUAAGAAAUCCAAAUCAUGUUUAAGUUAAACCAAUUAAUUUAAGUCAUUUCUAGUCUUUUAUCCUUCAAGUUUUGAGAUUGAAAAGAAAAAUAAGACUUGAUAAAAAGAUAAAAUAAGAAAAAAAUAAGAUCUUUUAAGAAAAAUAGACGAUAGAAAAGACAAAAUAAGAAGAAACAAAAUAUUUUUUCAGAAAAAUAUUAUUUCGCAAAAAAGAAGUUUAUUGAAAUUGUAAUUUUCUCAAAAAAAAGUAAAUUUGAUGUUUGUGUUAUGAUUUUAUAUAUGUAGUGCUAUUUGUUUUGAUAAUAUUUUGUCUAAGCAUUUAUCACUGAGAUUAGAAUAAAAAAAGAGAUUUAGUGGUUGUUUUAGUUUUAGAUAUGAUUCACGAUUGACUUCAGAACAUUAAUAGUUAUAGUAUAUGGAAGGUUAAUUAGUUGAUUUUUUAUAUUAUAGUCUUGUGUUUUUCUCAAGCUAACAAUUAAACUCGUCAUGUCUUGAACUUCUCGAGUUUACAAAAAAUUUAGGUGGAACUAUGAACCCGAACUUGUGGUUGAAGACUGUUGGGACGAAGCCUCUUAAGUUUAUAAACUUCGGUCGGAAAUCUUAGUCAGUGCGAGAGUGAUUGCUAAUAUUAGUCGGUUAUGAACCAUAGCUGCUCGGCUAACGUUAUGUGGCAGCCUGUUGAGUUUGAAAAGGAUGGCCAACCUUUGGUUCGUAUUGCGUUUUUGCAAAGUGGUAUAUACCUCCCUUGGCAGAGUUGAGGUAUGAUUAUGGAAUGUCUUAUGAUAAUGGAGAUGUUGAUGAAGAUGGAAGCAUGGGUUUUAGAGGUAAGAGGGUUUGCUUAUGUGGUUCGGAAAACUAUCGUGGUUCUUUUGAGUGAGGUUGGAUUUCUUAUUAUUAUUGUUGUUGUCUUUUCUUUUUUGUUGUUGUUUUGAUUAUUAUGGUCUUGUGUUUCCUCUUAAUCAUUAAGAAUAAAAAAUUUAUUUAAGUAUUUAAUCAUAUUGUUUACUUACGUUAUUUCAUUAACAGUUACAUUUGUAUCAUAAGAAAUCCAAAUCAUUUUUAAGUUAAGCCAAUUAAUAUAAGUCAUUUCUAGUCUUUUAUUCUUCGAGCUUUGAGAUUGAAAAGAAAAAUAGGACUUGAUAAAAAAAAGACAAAAAAAAAAUAAGAUUUUUUAUAGAAAAAUUGACUUGAUAAAAAGACAAAAUAACAAAGAACAAAAUAAGAUUUUUUUAGAAAAAUAUUUUUUAUAAUAAAAAAAAGAAGAUUAUUGAAAUUGUAAUAUUCUAAAAAAGUAAAUUUGAUGUUUGUGUUAUAAUUUUAUACUAGAUUUUGACCCGCGCUUUCAAAGCGCGGGUUUAUUUUUGUUUUUUUUUUCAAUUGACAAAUAUUUAGUAAAUGUCACAUUUUCAUAUAUUUUUGUUUUAUUUUAUAAAAGACUUAAAAAUUUUAUCUUUAUUUAUCGUAUUUCAUUUUAAAUGACUAUUUAUGUUAAAAAAUAAACUUUAUUUUUUUAAUGAAUUAAGUUGGUAUAACUCUGAUAAAUUAAUUUUAUUAUGGGGUUAAUAUUUUAAUUAAAAAAUUAUAUACUUUUAAUAAAAAUUUAUACUUUUCAAUAAAAAAUUCAAUUAUUUUUAUGAAUGCUUAAAUUAUAUUAAGAAAAGAAAAAUAAUAAUUAAGAAUAGUUGAAAAAAAAUUAUUUGAACUUGGACUCAAUGGCCCAAAGGAAAAAAAAAGUGAGAAUUGAAUCUGAUUUUUUAAUAGGCCCAAAUGACCCUAGAGAGAUUUGAUUUGGGCUGGAUCCAAAAAUAAUGACCCAAUAUAGAUUUGUUAUUAAUAUUACUUAAUUGCCCUUAAUGAAACAUGCAAUGUUAGUGAAGGAAACAUGCCCCUAAGGUAAUUAUGACAAUAGGAUCCUGCUUUAAUAGUAUAGAUAUGUAGUGCUAUUUGUUUUUAUAAUAUUUCAUUAAGCAUUUAUCAUUGAGAUUAGAAUCAAAGGAGAUUUGGUAGUUAUUUAAGUCUUAGAUAUGAUUCACGACUCACUUCAGAACAUUAAUAGCAAUAUUUUAAAAACCAUACCGGAUACCGACUCGGUAAAGCUACUGGUUAAGUGGUUGGACCCGUGUAACCGGUCGAACCGGAUUUUCUAUUUAAAAAUAAGUAAAUCUAAAUAAUCAUAUAUUUAUAAAAUGUAGUUCUACAUAUAAUAUGUUCUAUGUUCUCUUUUAUUAAUUAGAUAAUAAACAAUAACCAUAAGUAUAUUUAUAUAUACAAGUGAAUACUAUAUCAACUAAAAUUGAUAACAAAAAAACAAAUGAGUGACUGUUUAAAUUACAUAUUUAUUUAUUUUUACAACUAAAUCUCUUAAAUUAUAUGAAUAUAGCAAAAUGAGAAUAAAAUAUGAGAGUCAAAAAUAGAUUUUUUAAACUUAAAAUAGAAUCAAGCGAAAGCCAAUUAAAUAGUAAAAAUUAAACAUUAAUUAUGAAAUAUUAAAUUUUAAUAAAAAUUGAAAAUACAUUAAUUAUAUGUUGAUUUAUGUAGAACCGGGUUUUGAAGUUGAAUAUGAUCACCGAAUUUACCGGGUUUUAGCCGGUUUCACGGGUUUUUCUCAAAUCCGGAUUUUAAACGAACCGAACUCGGCUUCUUUAACGAGUCACAGUCAGACCGGUUCGACCGGCCGGUCCAGUUUUCAAAACCUUGAUUAAUAGUUAUAGUUAUAUGCAAGGUUAAUUAGUGAUUUUUUUAUAUGAUAGUCUUGUGUUUUUCUCAAGCUAACAAUUCAAAAAAACUUGUUAUGUCAUGUACUUCUCGAGUUUACAAAAACUUUAGGUGUAACUAUGAACCGGAACUUGUGGGUGAAGACUGUGGGAUGAAGUCUCUGAAGUUUAUACACUUCGGUCGGAAAUCUUGGUCGGUGCUAGAUUGAUUGGUAACAUUAGUCGGUUCAUGAACCAUAGCUGCUCGGCUAACGUUAUGUGGCAGACUGUUGAGUUUGAAAAGGAUGGUCAACCUUCAGUUUGUAUGGCGUUUUUUGAAAAGAGACAUAUACUUCCGUUGACAGAGUUGAGGUAUGAUUAUGGAAUGUCUUAUGAUACUUGAGAGGUUGAUGAAGAUGGAAGAAUGGUUGUUAGAGGUAUAAAGGGUUUGCUUAUGUCGUUCGGUAAACUGUCAUGGUUCUUUUGAGUGAGGUUGAAUUUCUUAUUAUUAUUGUUGUUGUCUUUUGCUUUUUUGUUGUUGUUUUGAUGAUUAUGGUCUUUUGUUUCCUUUUUAUCAUUAAGAAUAAAAAACUUAUUUAAGUAUUUAAUCAUAUUGUUUACUUAUGUUAUUUCAUUAUCAGUUAGAUUUGUACCAUAGGAAAUCCAAAUCAUGUUUAAGUUAAGCCAAUUAAUAUAAGUCAUUUCUAGUCUUUUAUUCCUCGGGUUCUUAGAUUGAAAAGAAAAAUAGGACCUGAUAAAAUAGAUAAUAUAAGAAGAAAAUAAUAUUUUUUAUAGAAAAAUAGACUUGAUGAAAAAGACAAAAUAAGAAGAAAAGAUAAGAUUUGUUUUUAGAAAAAUAUUUUUAAUAAAAAAGAAGAUUAUUGAAAUUGUAAUUUUCUAAAAACGUAAAUUUGAUGUUUGUGUUAUAAUUUUAUGUAGUGCUAUUGUUUUGAUAAUAUUUCUCUAAGCAUUUAUCGCUGAGAUUAGAAUAAAAGGGAGAUUUAGUGGUUGUUUUAGUCUUAGAUAUGAUUCACGAUUGACUUCAGAACAUUAAUGGUUAUAGUUAUAUGCAAGGUUAAUUAGUUGAUUUUUUAUAGGAUAGUCUUGUGUUUUUCUCAAGCUAACAACUAAAAAAAACUCGUUAUGUCAUGUACUUCUCGUGUUUACAAAAACUUUAGGAGGAACUAUGAACCGGAAGUUGUGGGUGAAGACUGUUGGGACGAAGUCUCUGAAGUUUAUAAACUUAGGUCGGAAAUCUUGGUCAGUGCGAGAUCAAUUGGUAACGUUAGACGGUUCAUGAACCAUAGCUGCUCGGCUAACGCUAUGUGGCAGCCUGUUAAGUUUGAAAAGGAUGGCCUACCUUCGGUUCGUAUUGCGUUUUUUGCAAAGAGGCAUAUACCUCUGUUGACAGAGUUGAGGUAUGAUUAUGGAAUGUCUUAUGAUACUGGAGAGGUUGAUGAAGAUGGAAGCAGGGCUUUUUGAGGUAAAAGGGUUUGCUUAUGUGGUUUGGAAAAAUGUCAUGGUUCUUUUGAGUGAGGUUGAAUUUCUUAUUAUUAUUGUUGUCGUAUUUUUUUUUUGUUGUGGUUUUGAUUAUUAUGGUCGUGUGUUUCCUUUUAAUCAUUAAGAAUAAAAACGUAUUUAAAUAUUUUAUCAUAUUUUUUACUUAUGUUAUUUCAUUAUCAGUUAGAUUUCUAUCAUAAAAAAUCUAAAUCAUGUUUAAGUUAAGCCAAUUAAUAUAAGUCAUUUCUAGUUUUUUAUUUUUCAAGUUUUGAGAUUGAAAAGGAAAAUAGGACUUGAUAAUAAAUAGACAAAAUGAGAAAAAAAAAAUUUUGUGUAGAAAAAGUAGACUUGAUAAAAAGACAAAAUAAGAAAAAAAUAAGAUUUUUUGUGGGAAUUUUUUUUAAAUAAAAGAGAAGUUUAUUGAAAUUGUAAUUUUCUCAAAAAUUAAAUUUGAUGUUUGUGUUAUGAUUUUAUAUAUGUAGUGUUAUUUGAUUUGAUAAUAUUUUCUCUAAGCAUUUAGCACUGAGAUUAGAAUAAAAAUGAGAUUUAAUGGUUGUUUUAGUCUUAGAUAUGAUUACGAUUGACUUCAGAACAUUAAUAGUCAUAGUUAUGUGAUUGUUUAAUGAUUAUGAACUUUUGAUCAUUAUUUUUUUCUUAAUGCAGUAUUUACUUUUGCAGUUGAUGGGUCUACUCCAAUCGAAGCUACACCAUUCAGCUAUCUAAUCCCGAGCUUUGCUGACGAUGAUAACCAUCAGAUGGAGAACAUCUCAUCACCAACUUCUCAAGUGGUACACCACUCCAAAGUCCAAACCGUUGUAUGAGAUCCCUUACACAACAACACCUCCCAUUUCUCAAGCCUCACCGCUUCAACCUGCUAAUGACGAAAACUACAACACACCAACACCCUCUCACCCAGGGGCGAAUCUAGAAAAGUUUUUAAUUGGGGCACCAAAUUAUAAACACCAAAAAAUAUUUUUGAUGGGGGCACUUUUACAUUUUUCUUCACUAAACUAAUGAUAUUUAAUAAAUUAAAUUAAACUAUCAAAGAAAAUAAUAAAAAUCAGUAGGGGGUACGUGACCCCGUACGGCCGUACUUCCAUCCGCCCCUGCUCUCACCUAUAUUAAUAGCCACACCACUUAGUUUUUUUUCACCAUCUGAUGAAUCCAACACUGUUGAUGUCGAUCCCAGCAUAGGUCCCAUCAAAAGAGGGCGAGGCCGACGUAAUGGAAUGUCUUAUGAUACUGGAGAGGUUGAUGAGGAUCGAAACAUGAUUUUUAGAGGUAAAAGGGUUUGCUUAUGUAGUUUGGGUCUCUGUCAUGGUUCUUUUGAGUGAUGUUGAACUUUUUAUCAUUAUUGUUGUUGUUUUUUCUGUUGUUUUGAUUAUUAUGGUCUUGUGUUUCUUUUUAAUUUAUUAAUAAUAAUUAAAAAAAAACUUAUUUAAGUUUUUAAACAUAUUGUUUACUUAUGUUAUUUCAUUAUCAGUUAGAUUUAUAUCAUAAGAAAUUCAAAUCAUGUUUAAGUUAAUCCAAUAGAUGUAUAUUUUGUUGUGUCUCAAUAAAAAGAUGGAUAUUUUAUUUUUAAUUAAAGAGAAAAGUACUUGUACUAUUAUUUCAUUAUUGGUUCCUGUGUUGUUGUGAUGGUUUUGGUUCAGAAAGGUAUUUAUUUGGGAUUUGGUGUUACGUUUCAGUAGUGUUGUUGUCCUUGUGUGUUAGCUAUGAACAAAGGAUCCAAAAAGAGAGCAUGGUAUGGUAAAAUCUACGUAAACUGGAAACUAUUCUUGUGGAGGUGGACAAUUUGACUUCUCAGGUACUUUAUGCUAGUUUUUAAAGGCCUAUCAGAGUUAUUCUCUAUGUUUCCUUGGGAUGUGUUUUGGUGAUUUAAAGGAUGUAAGAGUGAGUGCAAGAAAAUGGGUUCUCUUGGUUUUCUUAUGUUUGACAGGGUAAAGCUUCUUUGAGUUAUCUGUAAGGGAUGAACCGGAGGAAGGGAUGGAAGAUCAAGAUGAGUUCUUCAUCGAAGACUUUGAUGCUGCUCCAUUUGUACGACAUGACAUUUCGUGAAGACCCCUCAGAUUUUGACGACAAUUUGCUUUAUGCAGCUCGUGACAGGACUAGGCAGCUCAGAUCAUUCAAGGUCCUCUCUCUCUCUCUUUCUUAUGUUUCUUGUUUACCAUAAUCAUCAGACAAAAGAUAAUGGAUGCUUUAACUUCGUAAAGAAUAAGAGAGAAGGAAUAUGAGCAGCUUGCAAUAUGGUUUGGAGAUGCAGACAUGGGUGUUGAUGUGACGAACAGUAAGAAACAUGCGACAACAUCUCCGGACCCUAAAAACUCAGGGUCAAACCUGCCAUUUGCAUCAGACGAUUGAGACACCUUCUAUGCAGGCUUGACUGUCAUGUGAUGCUUUAAAGUUUGAACAAUAUGAUACCAAGAACCAAUCUGUUUCUUCUAAUAUGAAAAACAUUAAAUUCUUCUUAAUGCCCCUUCUAGUUUCCUUUACUGCUCUAAACAAUUGAUUUGUUCCACUUAAGACGCAGGGAACAAGCAUGUUGAUUAGAGGAAGACAUCUACAGUUCAUUCUUCUGUACAGUAAAACAUCCUAAUACAGAAAACAGUCCAAUUGGGGCAAAGUCAUCGACUUAGAAAAUAACAUGACGGCUCUGAUUCUAAAGCUAAACACUAUCUUGACUUGUCAGCUCUAAUUACCAGUAUCUGAUCCACGUCCAGAGGAGCUGUCACUGUCAGAAUCUGCAGAACAAAAAAGAAGAUUGAUGUGAGUAGUGAUGCUGAUAAAGGUGUGAUAAAAAGAGCUGACACAGAGUUUCAACAUUUACCACUAGAGCUAGAUCCCGAGUCACUGCUGGAACUGUUAGAACUACUUGAUCCACCUGCCUUGUUUUCUUGCCGAACAGGAGAAGAAGACAUGCGAAUAGCUUUCCCUGGUUAGAAAUAAUCAUUUGUUAUUCCUUUGUUGUGUGUAAAUAAAUACUAAUUAACAACAUCCGAAUUUGGUAUGAGCUAGUGACCUAAAACCUUACCUGAUUCAGUAACUCUCGAUCUUUCGGUGCCAGUUGCCUGAAACAAUGAUAAUGAGCCAAAAUCAAUAAAGACCUGAAAUAAAUAACAUUUGGCUAUGGAAAGAAAUCUUUACCGGUUCUUGGAUAAUGUUGUGAGCAGAUUCAGCAUCUCUUUCUGAACCAAAACCCUGAUCCUCCUCCUUUUUAUUGCUCAAGUUCUCCUUAUACCCAGUCACAAAACUAUAAAGCUCCCAAAGCGUUUGGAUGUCAAGACUGUCAAUAUCCAGCUCAAUCUCAUCAUCCUGUUGAGAGAGUUCCGGAUUACUCUUCUUUACAAUCUGAACAACUGUCUCUAGUUUAUCAUAAGGCAAGUCCUGAAGCUCUUCACUGAGUCUCUGUUUCUCAUCCAUCGUCAGGUCCCUAAUAUCAACAGGCGCCUCCUCAUCUCCUCCAGGCUUCUCGAGGGCAGUAGUAGUGACAGUUUCCGGUUCCAACGGUGUCGUCAUAGAUUCAGCAAUCUCCAAAGUCCUAUCCUCAAGCACCGCAGGCGGAAGAGUAGGAAGAGGAGGAGACGGGGAAGGUGUAGGAGCUGGUAAAGGCUCAACAACAGGAGCAGGACGAGGCAACACAACAUCACGAACCGGUUUCAUCUCCCUGUGAAGACUAUGAUACUGCAGUUCAAUAGGAGCCCACUUCUCCUCAAACAUGCUCAACAGAAACUUAGCCAUACUAUGCACCUCAUGCCCAACAGGAUUAUACAAAAUCGCAUUGUUAAAAGUAAGUCUAACAUCUUCAGCAAAAUCCAACGGCGACUCAUACAAACCUUCCCCUAACUUAGCCUUCACAGUACCCAAAUCCAUAGGCUCCUUAACAAUGGUGUGGUAAUCAUGCAAACCAAACCCUUUAGCAUCAACGGGCACAUUGAACACCCAUCCAUCCUUAUGCUUCAUCAAUUUCGUCAGCAAAUUGAGACAUUUCUUGAAAAUCUGAACCGUACCUUUAUCACCUUUCUUAACUCCAUUCCCAGUUUUCACCUUCUUGUUUCCACCUUUCCCUGUUGUAAA
rnacentral:lncRNA from 1 species